GACUAAAGGAGCCAUUUUGUGGCUCAUUUCUGUGGGGGGGGGCAGACUUUCCCCUGUGAUUUUUCACGAUUUGGGGGGGCAUUCCUGAGCACAUGGGGGACCAAUGGAGCAUGCCAGAGUGUACCCGUUGCUAAUCCCAUGUGUGGCAGCUCUUGCGAGAGACCGCGAGCAGCUGCCGGACUAGCAACGGGAAGGGAGAGAAAACAGCGGCCAGGAUGAGGAGGCGGCAGCGGGCCGGCCCAGGCCAGCCUGGCCUGGCCACCCAGAUGAGAAGGCAGCGGCGGGCCGACCCGGCAGCCAGGAUAAGAAGGCACCGGCCUGGCCACCAGGAGGAGGCAGCAGGCAGGAGGAGGGGACGGGACGGCUUGAAAGUCAUCCAGAAGCCGGCCGGGCUGCAGGGAAUAGUCACACCAAUUCUGUAUAACUCUUUGCUGCUGGAACUGUUGUUAAGAGUGAUCACAUUCUGAAGAGUUCAUCCUGCUUCACUGACAAAGAAUGGAAAACUGAAAAUGAAACACUCUUUGAAGGACCACAACUUGCUCUCUAAACCAAAUACUGCUACCAAGUCACAAUCCCACCAAGAAUUUCACUCACACCUCUAACAAUUAAGCACAGAUAUUAGAAGUUUUGUUUGGAAAGAAAUGCAGACUAGAUAUUAUUUCAUAAUGUGAUCCACAUAUUGUUGGUGUUCUGAAGAGAACACACUGGUUCCAUGUUGCUGAGGUUUCUAAGUUUCAAAGACGGUAUUAAUAUGGCCUGACACCUUCCUAGUCUUGGUUUUCAGUUCAACUGUUUCAGUUGCAUUGGGAAGAAUAAUGUAAUGACUUUAAACAGGUGGCCCAGAUGAAUGAGAUAAAGAGCAUAUGGUCUACCAAGCAUCCUCAUAAGAUCUCUUCCCUCUGAGACAGUCUGAGGAUCCCUGGAUUAGGUAGCCAGUUUAAAGAGGGACGACAGCUCAGUGGCAGAGGCCCCGGGUCCAGUUAAAGAUUCUGAAUCGGAAGGGCUAGAAAACACUUCCUGAGACCUUGGAGCACAGGUGCCAAUCAGAUUAGAAAGUACUGGAUCAACUCAGUUAGAUGGGUCAACCCUCAUGCCAGGUUCAGAUGCCAGGCCAUUGUAGCAAACCCCUGAUCAAACACCAUUGCUCAUCCUAGCCUACUUCAUAAGGUUUUCAUGAAGAUGAAAUGGGGAAAGCCCCAUAUAAACCCUCUUGAGCGAUACUU